rnacentral:rRNA from 1 species
CCUUACCAGCGUUUGACAUCNUAAGAAGUUUCUAGAGAUAGAUUCGUGCCGGCUUGCCGGAACUUAGUGACAGGUGGUGCAUGGCUGUCGUCAGCUCGUGUCGUGAGAUGUUGGGUUAAGUCCCGCAACGAGCGCAGCCCCUAUUGUAUGUUGCUANCAUNNNNNNNNNCNCCNCNNNNNAUACUGCCUGCGAUGAGCAGGAGGAAGGUGGGGAUGACGUCAAGUCAUCAUGCCCCUUAUACGCUGGGCUACACACGUGCUACAAUGGGCAGUACAGAGAGUUGCCAACCCGCGAGGGUGAGCUAAUCUCUUAAAGCUGUUCUUAGUUCGGAUUGUACUCUGCAACUCGAGUACAUGAAGUUGGAAUCGCUAGUAAUCGCAAAUCAGCAUGUUGCGGUGAAUACGUUCUCGGGUCUUGUACACACCGCCCGUCACACCACGAGAGUUGGUUGCACCUGAAGUAGCAGGCCUAACCGUAAGGAGGGAUGUUCCUAAGGUGUGAUUAGCGAUUGGGGUG